rnacentral:rRNA from 1 species
GUGGGGAAUCUUCCACAAUGGACGAAAGUCUGAUGGAGCAACGCCGCGUGAGUGAAGAAGGGUUUCGGCUCGUAAAGCUCUGUUGUCGGGGACGAAUGUGCAGUAUUUGAAUAAAGUAUUGCAAUGACGGUACCUGACGAGGAAGCCACGGCUAACUACGUGCCAGCAGCCGCGGUAAUACGUAGGUGGCAAGCGUUGUCCGGAAUUAUUGGGCGUAAAGGGAGCGCAGGCGGGAAGGUAAGUCGGUCUUAAAAGUGCGGGGCUCAACCCCGUGAUGGGAUCGAAACUAUCUUUCUUGAGUGCAGGAGAGGAAAGUGGAAUUCCUAGUGUAGCGGUGAAAUGCGUAGAUAUUAGGAGGAACACCAGUGGCGAAGGCGACUUUCUGGACUGUAACUGACGCUGAGGCUCGAAAGCCAGGGGAGCGAACGGGAUUAGAAACCCCGGUAGUCC